GUGGUUGUGUCUCAGUGGUAGAGCACUCACCUAGCAAGUGUGAGGCUCUGAGUUCAAUCCUCAGCACCACA
rnacentral:tRNA from 1 species